AGUGAACGCUGGCGGUAGGCCUAACACAUGCAAGUCGAACGGCAGCACAGUAAGAGCUUGCUCUUACGGGUGGCGAGUGGCGGACGGGUGAGGAAUACAUCGGAAUCUACUUUUUCGUGGGGGAUAACGUAGGGAAACUUACGCUAAUACCGCAUACGACCUACGGGUGAAAGCAGGGGAUCUUCGGACCUUGCGCGAUUGAAUGAGCCGAUGUCGGAUUAGCUAGUUGGCGGGGUAAGGGCCCACCAAGGCGACGAUCCGUAGCUGAUCUGAGAGGAUGAUCAGCCACACUGGAACUGAGACACGGUCCAGACUCCUACGGGAGGCAGCAGUGGGGAAUAUUGGACAAUGGGCGCAAGCCUGAUCCAGCCAUACCGCGUGGGUGAAGAAGGCCUUCGGGUUGUAAAGCCCUUUUGUUGGGAAAGAAAAGCAGCAGGUUAAUACCCCGCUGUUCUGACGGUACCCAAAGAAUAAGCACCGGCUAACUUCGUG
rnacentral:rRNA from 1 species